UGGAGCAUGUGGUUUAAUUCGAAGAUACACGAAGAACCUUACCUGGCCUUGACAUGGUAGGAACCCUUAAGAGAUUAGGGGGUGCUAGCUUGCUAGAACCUACACACAGGUGCUGCACGGCUGUCGUCAGCUCGUGUCGUGAGAUGUUGGGUUAAGUCCCGCAACGAGCGCAACCCUCGUCCUUAGUUGCUAACAGUUCGGCUGAGCACUCUAGGGGGACUGCCUUCGCAAGGAGGAGGAAGGUGAGGACGACGUCAAGUCAUCAUGGCCCUUACGGCCAGGGCUACACACGUGCUACAAUGGGGCGUACAGAGAGCUGCGAUACCGCGAGGUGGAGCCAAUCUCUUAAAGCGUCUCUCAGUUCGGAUUGUUCUCUGCAACUCGAGAACAUGAAGCUGGAAUCACUAGUAAUCGCAGAUCAGCUAUGCUGCGGUGAAUACGUUCCCGGGUCUU
rnacentral:rRNA from 1 species